rnacentral:rRNA from 1 species
AUGGCGANCCUGAUGCAGCACGCCGCGUGCGGGAUGACGGCCUUCGGGUUGUAAACCGCUUUCAGCUCCGACGAAGCGCAAGUGACGGUAGGAGCAGAAGAAGGACCGGCCAACUACGUGCCAGCAGCCGCGGUGAUACGUAGGGUCCGAGCGUUGUCCGGAAUUAUUGGGCGUAAAGGGCUUGUAGGCGGUUUGUCACGUCGGAAGUGAAAACUCAGGGCUUAACCCUGAGCCUGCUUCCGAUACGGGCAAACUAGAGGAAUGCAGGGGAGAAUGGAAUUCCUGGUGGAGCGGUGGAAUGCGCAGAUAUCAGGAGGAACACCAGUGGCGAAGGCGGUUCUCUGGGCAUUUCCUGACGCUGAGAAGCGAAAGCGUGGGGAGCAAACAGGCUUAGAUACCCUGGUAGUCCACGCCGUAAACGGUGGGCACUAGGUGUGGGACUCAUUCCACGAGUUCCGUGCCGUAGCUAACGCAUUAAGUGCCCCGCCUGGGGAGUACGGCCGCAAGGCUAAAACUCAAAGGAAUUGACGGGGGCCCGCACAAGCGGCGGAGCAUGCGGAUUAAUUCGAUGCAACGCGAAGAACCUUACCUGGGUUUGACAUAUGCCGGAAAGCUGCAGAGAUGUAGCCCCCGCAAGGUCGGUAUACAGGUGGUGCAUGGCUGUCGUCAGCUCGUGUCGUGAGAUGUUGGGUUAAGUCCCGCAACGAGCGCAACCCUCGUCCUAUGUUGCCAGCGGAUAAUGCCGGGGACUCAUAGGAGACUGCCGGGGUCAACUCGGAGGAAGGUGGGGAUGACGUCAAGUCAUCAUGCCCCCUUAAGUCCAGGGCUUCACGCAUGCUACAAUGGCUGGUACAAAGGGCUGCAAUACCGCAAGGNUUGAGCGAAUCCCAAAAAGCCAGUCUCAGUUCGGAUUGGGGUCUGCAACUCGACC